ensembl:lncRNA
GUAUCGCAGUGCCUGCAAGAGGAAAGGUGACAGUUGGCGUUUUCGCCUCUGGAGGAGCAGUCCCUCUGACGUGUCUGCUUGGGUUUCAGGGCAGCUGCCCUCUGCUCUUCUGAGCCUGCAUCUUGUAAGCACCCAGGGGUGAACCUUCCGAGAUUCCACAUGUAAGCAACUUCACAUGAGAUCUGUCUUUGUCUGACUUCCUUCCCUUGCUUCCCUGAUGGCUCAGAUGGGAAAGAAUCCGCCUGCAAUGUGGAAGACCUGGGUUUGAUCCCUGGGUUGAGAAGAUCCCCUGGAGGAGGGCAUGGCAACGCACUCCAGGAUUCUUGCCUGGAGAAUCCCACGGACAGAGGAGCCUGGUGGGCUGCACUCAUGGGUCACAACGAGUCCGACCACGACUCAGUGACUGAGCACAGGUCUGCUUCUCUUAGUGUGAUAAUCUCUGCGUCCAUCCACGUUGCUGCAAACACCGUUCUUUCUUUCUUCUUAAUGACUGAUACCCCAUCGUAUAUGUGCAUCGAAUCUUCUUUAUCUUUUCAUCUGUCAAAGCACAGUUAGGUUGCUC